rnacentral:rRNA from 1 species
ACGAACGCUGGCGGCGUGCUUAACACAUGCAAGUCGAACGGAAAGGCCCUGCUUUUGUGGGGUGCUCGAGUGGCGAACGGGUGAGUAACACGUGAGUAACCUGCCCUUGACUUUGGGAUAACUUCAGGAAACUGGGGCUAAUACCGGAUAGGAGCUCCUGCUGCAUGGUGGGGGUUGGAAAGUUUCGGCGGUUGGGGAUGGACUCGCGGCUUAUCAGCUUGUUGGUGGGGUAGUGGCUUACCAAGGCUUUGACGGGUAGCCGGCCUGAGAGGGUGACCGGCCACAUUGGGACUGAGAUACGGCCCAGACUCCUACGGGUGGCAGCAGUGGGGAAUAUUGCACAAUGGGCGGAAGCCUGAUGCAGCAACGCCGCGUGCGGGAUGACGGCCUUCGGGUUGUAAACCGCUUUCGCCUGUGACGAAGCGUGAGUGACGGUAAUGGGUAAAGAAGCACCGGCUAACUACGUGCCAGCAGCCGCGGUGAUACGUAGGGUGCGAGCGUUGUCCGGAUUUAUUGGGCGUAAAGGGCUCGUAGGUGGUUGAUCGCGUCGGAAGUGUAAUCUUGGGGCUUAACCCUGAGCGUGCUUUCGAUACGGGUUGACUUGAGGAAGGUAGGGGAGAAUGGAAUUCCUGGUGGAGCGGUGGAAUGCGCAGAUAUCAGGAGGAACACCAGUGGCGAAGGCGGUUCUCUGGGCCUUUCCUGACGCUGAGGAGCGAAAGCGUGGGGAGCGAACAGGCUUAGAUACCCUGGUAGUCCACGCUGUAAACGGUGGGUACUAGGUGUGGGGUCCAUUCCACGGGUUCCGUGCCGUAGCUAACGCUUUAAGUACCCCGCCUGGGGAGUACGGCCGCAAGGCUAAAACUCAAAGGAAUUGACGGGGCCCCGCACAAGCGGCGGAGCAUGCGGAUUAAUUCGAUGCAACGCGUAGAACCUUACCUGGGUUUGACAUGGAUCGGGAGUGCUCAGAGAUGGGUGUGCCUCUUUUGGGGUCGGUUCACAGGUGGUGCAUGGCUGUCGUCAGCUCGUGUCGUGAGAUGUUGGGUUAAGUCCCGCAACGAGCGCAACCCUUGUUCACUGUUGCCAGCACGUUAUGGUGGGGACUCAGUGGAGACCGCCGGGGUCAACUCGGAGGAAGGUGGGGAUGACGUCAAGUCAUCAUGCCCCUUAUGUCCAGGGCUUCACGCAUGCUACAAUGGCUGGUACAGAGAGUGGCGAACCUGUGAGGGUGAGCGAAUCUCGGAAAGCCGGUCUCAGUUCGGAUUGGGGUCUGCAACUCGACCUCAUGAAGUCGGAGUCACUAGUAAUCGCAGAUCAGCAACGCUGCGGUGAAUACGUUCCCGGGGCUUGUACACACCGCCCGUCAAGUCAUGAAAGUUGGUAACACCCGAAGCCGGUGGCCUAACCGUUGUGGGGGAGCCGUCGAAGGUGGGACUGGUGAUUAGG